GAGCACGGUGAGAGAGAGCGAGAGAGAGAGGGAGGGAAGCCCGAGUCGACACACGAGAGGAGAUCAUUCACUCGUGGAAGAAAAUCUAUGUGCAAGAUGCAAGAGAACAUGCCGAACUCCUUACAGACAGGACACUUAAGCUGUGCAGCACCCACUAUCUGCUAUGCCACAGUGCCACAUAGAAUUAUUAGACAAGCAUAAGUCACUGUCUGCAAGGAGUUGGGCAGCCGUCCCCAAGUCUGUGUUGGUUUCCUUCCACCUGCUAAAACAUGUAGAAGGUGUGUUAGAUACUUCUAAGUUUGCAUAAGUAAGUAAACGUGUGUGUGUGUGCGUGCGUGUGUGUGUGUGUGUGUGUGUGUGUGUGCACGCCCUGUGCAGGGUUUAAUCCUACCUUGUAUCCAGUU